CUUAUGAAAAAAAAUUGGGAUCAAAUUGAAGCAUCCUACUAUUUUUUGUGAUUUUUCAAAGUGAAGAAAUAAAAUGUGAAAUAAUGAAAUAAUAUGAAAAAUGAAAUUUGAAAGAAAUUGGCAACAUGCAUCAGCCAGGAUUUGAACCCACGCGUGCCAGGUAAAAAUGAGCGCUCAAAAAUUUAAUUCAGAAACAAGCUCGCCAAGAAUCUAACCCGUGCCAGGCCAGGGAAAACAAAUAAAAAACAAAACGCAAAUGCCAAGGCUCGAACCCGCGCGCGCCCGGUCCAAAAGUGCUUGAAACGCUGCGUUUCAG
rnacentral:lncRNA from 1 species